GAUGAACGCUGGCGGCGUGCCUAAUACAUGCAAGUCGAGCGAACAGACGAGAAGCUUGCUCCUCUGACGUUAGCGGCGGACGGGUGUGUAACACGUGGAUACCCUACCUAUAAGCCUGGGAUAACUGCGGGAAACCGGAGCUAAUACCGGAUAAUAUCUUGAACCGCAUGGUUCAAUAGUGAUAUACGGGUUUGCUGUCACUUAGAGGUGUAUCCGCGCUGCAUUAGCGAGUUGGUAAGGUAACGGCUUGCCAAGUCAACGAUGCGUAGCCGACCUGAGAGGGUGAUCGGCCACGGUGGAACUGAGACACGGUCCAGACUGCUACGGGAAGCAGCAGUAGGGAAUCAUCCGCAAUAGGCGUAAGCAAGACGGAGCAACGCCGCGUGGGUGAUGACGGCCUUGGGAUCGUAAAAAUCUGUUAUUAGGGAAGAACAACUGUGUAAGUAAAUAUGCACGUCUUGACGGUAUCUAGUCAAAAAGCCACGGCUAACUACGUG
rnacentral:rRNA from 1 species